rnacentral:lncRNA from 10 species
CGGGGUUUCACCGUGUUAACCAGGAUGGUCUUCAACUCCUGACCUCAAGUAAUCUGCCCGCCUCGGCCUCCCGAAGUGCUGGGAUUACAGGCGUGACCCACCGCGCCCGGCAGAUGAGGAAACUGACCUUUAGAAAGAACUGAACCUAUCCAGAAUUGUGAUUCAUGACUCACCAGAUCCUGUGGCCCCCCUAUCCAGGGGUGCACUCAGCACAUGAGGACGCCUGUGAUUCUGCCCCUAUGAGUUCAUCCCCAACCAGUCAGCAAUACCCAUUCCUUAACCCCCUGCCUGGCAAACUGUCUGGGAGACUGAUUUGAGUGAUAACUCCAAUUCUCUUGUGUGGGCCAGCCACAUAUCAAUAAAACUCUUUCUCUACUGCAAUGCCAUGGUCUCAGUGGAUUGAUUUUGUCUGUACACUGGGGCAGGAAGAACCCAUCAGGG